rnacentral:sRNA from 1 species
GACCACAUUCUACAUAGGGCCUUCUUAUCUCUUCCUUCUCCGAGCUCGGGUUAUGGACGAAGGAGAAGAAGGAACCGAGAAGAAAGUAUCAGCAA